rnacentral:rRNA from 1 species
AGAGUUUGAUCCUGGCUCAGGAAGAACGCUAGCGGCAGGCCUAAUACAUGCGAGUCGAGGGGUAGAGAUGGGUUUACUCAUCUUGAGACCGGCGCACGGGUGCGUAACACGUAUGCAACCUACCCUUUACUGGGGCAUAGCUCAGAGAAAUCUGAAUUAAUUCCCCAUAAUAUAAUUAUAUGGCAUCAUUUGAUUAUUAAAGCUGAGGCGGUAAAGGAUGGGCAUGCGUUGCAUUAGCUAGUUGGUGAGGUAAUGGCUCACCAAGGCUACGCUGCAUAGGGGUUCUGAGAGGAUGAUCUCCCACACUGGUACUGAGACACGGACCAGACUCCUACGGGAGGCAGCAGUAGGGAAUAUUGGUCAAUGGACGCAAGUCUGAACCAGCCAUGCCGCGUGCAGGAAGACGGCCCUCUGGGUUGUAAACUGCUUUUAUAUGGGAAGAAACCCCUGGAUGCGUCCAGGGCUGACGGUACUUUAUGAAUAAGGAUCGGCUAACUUCGUGCCAGCAGCCGCGGUAAGACGAAGGAUCCAAGCGUUGUCCGGAUUUACUGGGUUUAAAGGGUGCGUAGGCGGACCGAUAAGUCAGUAGUGAAAGCCCAUAGCUCAACUAUGGACCUGCCAUUGAAACUGCCGGUCUUGAAUUCG